rnacentral:misc_RNA from 1 species
GAAAUGCGAUACGUAGUGUGAAUUGCAGAAUUCCGUGAAUCAUCGAAUCUUUGAACGCAUAUUGCGCUCGAGGCUUCGGCCAAGAGCAUGUCUGCCUCAGCGUCGGGUUAAUAUCAGUGCUCAAUGAAUAAUUAUGAUUAUUUAUUGGCUGCAUUGGACCUGGCCGUUUCAGCGAGUUAUUGUUAUGGGCAUUGGGAAUUAUUAUAUACUUGAUAAUACCCCUUGGACAUAGCAAUAAAUACACGAGCUGGAUCGGCUGAAGCACAGAGUGCUGACCAAGGACCCUAUCAAGGGCCGCAACUGGGUAGGUUUACCGCAAAGGGUGAUUAUUGUUACCUGGCGCAGUAUAUCAACGCUUAGUUGUUGGUCUUGGGACUUUAGUCUGGCCCUCAACCCAGGAAACUUAAACCCCUAUUUUCUCGACCUGAGCUCAGGCAAGAACACCCGCUGAACUUAAGC